GAUGAACGCUAGCUACAGGCUUAACACAUGCAAGUCGAGGGGCAGCAUGACGAUAGCUUGCUAUUGUUGAUGGCGACCGGCGCACGGGUGAGUAACGCGUAUCCAACCUGCCCUUGUCCAUCGGAUAACCCGUCGAAAGGCGGCCUAACACGAUAUGCAGUUCUCCGCAGGCAUCUAACGAGAACGAAAUGUAAAGGAGAAGGAUGGGGAUGCGUCUGAUUAGCUUGGUGGCGGAGUAACGGCCCACCAAGGCGACGAUCAGUAGGGGUUCUGAGAGGAAGGUCCCCCACAUUGGAACUGAGACACGGUCCAAACUCCUACGGGAGGCAGCAGUGAGGAAUACUGGUCAAUGGGCGAGAGCCUGAACCAGCCAAGUAGCGUGCAGGACGACGGCCCUAUGGGUUGUAAACUGCUUUUAUGCGGGGAUAAAGUGAGCCACGUGUGGCUUAUUGCAGGUACCGCAUGAAUAAGGACCGGCUAAUUCCGUGCCAGCCGCCGCCGUAA
rnacentral:rRNA from 1 species